UCCAAUCAUAAAAUACCGCUCCUUCCAUAUUGAUUGGGCUUUGGCGACUAGGAUGCGAGUGCGAAGCCUCGUGCGCCAAGGUGCUCAAAAAAGAGAGACCAAGCCAGGGCGCGCCAGGCUCGCGGGGUGAAGACCAUCCCUGGCCGGGCACGCCGGGCCCUCUCGCCCGCUCGCCUCCCGCUUUGGGGUUCGCCUUUGGGGGAGACGCCACACCAAGCCGCCCGUCUUAAGCCCUCGCUCUUCUUCAGAAGGGGCUCAUCAGCCCCCUCUUCCUUUCUUGGCAGGAGGGGAUGGAGUCCUGCAAAAGCUUGCCUCUCCUUGGGAUGGGAACUUUGGCUCUCUCCUUGGGAACCGGACCGCAGAAAUGAGUCAUGCCAUAAUAUGAAGACCUGGAGAUGAAUCAUUGAGGUGAAGAUGGGGAGUAUGGAAGUGAAGACACUGAUUGGAACAUUACUUCCUUUGAACAUGAGUGUGCAUCCAGCAAUAUCUCGAGUACAUUAUGAUGAGUCAUCCAAAGCCAGUGCUUCAUUUGAAGAUUUCCUCUGAGAAUUUAAGAGGUUUGUUUGAUUCGUUGGUGUGUUGGGACACCUAUCCCUGUCCUACCGUUUGGCAUACAGAGAUCCUGCCGAUGGGGAUGCAAAGCUGGAGAGGAAAACAAGCCCCAAGACAACCAAGAAGACCCCAAACCAAGGAGAAAGCUCAGUACACGAACAUGGAGAGAUAGAUCCAGGCAGACCCUUAAGAGGCCUGUGGCUCUUCCUCCCUAUUUUUGCCCCUUCUUUUGUGCAUUAAAGAAAAUAUUUACAAA